UCUCCUCGUAUGCGGCUGCUACUCAGUACCCCCACUUUUUUCUUCUGUUUCUAUUUACUUUCUCAUCUCUUUCUCAUGUUCCUACAAGAACAAGAAUAUAGCAAAGCUUAAGAAGAACAUAUACAAAACAGAGAAAGCUUAUUUGUUGGUGGUGGAGACGUGGUGGUUACUGAUAUAUAUUAUACUAUGACCUCUUCUUUUUUCUGGUGAGGUGAGAAACUUGUUUUCCCCUUUUCAAUUAUCUGAUUCAUUACACCUUUCAAUUGAAUGUUUGCAUGUUAAUUUUAACAUAAUAGUGUUUUUGUUUGAUUGGUUGUUUGUGGGUUUAAAUUUGGAUCCAAUUAUUUGAUUUUUACUUCAAUCAAGGAUGAUGUUGCUGGAUGUCUUGAGUAUUAUGUAGAUCUUGCAGGAGCUGCAAAUUCCAAGCACACGAUUCCUUUUAACGUCCCAAAUCCAAUCAAAGACAUUUAUGAUUCAUGUUCUCAAGGAACCUUGGUUGAUCCCUGGUUAUACAUGUUUCUUCUUCAAUCUUUGUAAACUCUUGGUUACAUUGUUCUGUAACUUUUUUGGGGGUACAUACCCAUCUUGUGAAUCCAAUUUCAUAGAUAAGAUAAUCAUAUAUGUAAAUUCCUUUUGAUGUUAAUGAUGGAUUUAGGCAAGGUUCUUUUGUGA